AGUGAACGCUGGCGGUAGGCCUAACACAUGCAAGUCGAACGGCAGCACAGUAAGAGCUUGCUCUUACGGGUGGCGAGUGGCGGACGGGUGAGGAAUACAUCGGAAUCUACUUUUUCGUGGGGGCUAACGUAGGGAAACUUACGCUAAUACCGCAUACGACCUACGGGUGAAAGCAGGGGCUCUUCGGACCUUGCGCGAUUGAAUGAGCCGAUGUCGGAUUAGCUAGUUGGCGGGUUAAAGGCCCACCACGGCGACGGUCGGUAGCUGGUCGGAGGGGAGGAUCCCCCAACUUGUAACUGAGACCCGGCCCAGACUCCUACGGGAGGCAACAGUUGGGAAUAUUGGACAAUGGGCGCAAGCCUGAUCCCGCCCUACCGCCUGAGUGAAGAAGGCCUUCGGGUUGUAGAGCCCUUUUGUUGGGAGAGAAAAGCAGCAGGUUAAUACCCCGCUGUUCUGACGGUACCCAAAGAAUAAGCACCGGCUAACUUCGUG
rnacentral:rRNA from 1 species